GUCUGUGAUGUCCCCGAGCCAUGUAUUUUCGUCGUAAAUUUCGGACUAAUUUCUUUAUCUUUUUCCAAUGCCAAAGUCACAUAAUCAAAUGAAUAUUGGCCAUUCAACAUUCGACUUGUCCUUGACAUUUGCCAGUUCUAUAAACAGUCGCAGACAUACAAUGUCAAAAAUAAUUAAUGUUAAGGAUAAGUUUAGUCCAUAUAAAACAACCCACAAGGUCGAAAAAGGAGACUAUAGCCAUGCAGUCCCAAAAACCAUUAUUUCACACAAUUUCGCUAAUAAAUUGAAUGAAUUUUACUUGGGUUAGAUUCGUAUGUCCUUGCCAACGAAAAGUAAACAGUCUG